GUGCUCGCUUCGGCAGCACGUAUACGAAAAACUGGAACGAUACAGAGAUUAGCACGGCCCCUGUGCCCAGGAUGACACACAGAUUCGGGAACUGAUGCAUGGUUUU